CGCGUUGGGAGCUCUCCCAUAUGGUCGACCUGCAGGCGGCCGCGAAUUCACUAGUGAUUACUCCUACGGGAGGCAGCAGUGGGGAAUAUUGCACAAUGGGGGAAACCCUGAUGCAGCGACGCCGCGUGAAGGAAGAAGUAUCUCGGUAUGUAAACUUCUAUCAGCAGGGAAGAUAGUGACGGUACCUGACUAAGAAGCCCCGGCUAACUACGUGCCAGCAGCCGCGGUAAUACGUAGGGGGCAAGCGUUAUCCGGAUUUACUGGGUGUAAAGGGAGCGUAGACGGACUGGCAAGUCUGAUGUGAAAGGCGGGGGCUCAACCCCUGGACUGCAUUGGAAACUGUUAGUCUUGAGUGCCGGAGAGGUAAGCGGAAUUCCUAGUGUAGCGGUGAAAUGCGUAGAUAUUAGGAGGAACACCAGUGGCGAAGGCGGCUUACUGGACGGUAACUGACGUUGAGGCUCGAAAGCGUGGGGAGCAAACAGGAUUAGAUACCCUGGUAGUCCACGCUGUAAACGAUGAAUACUAGGUGUUGGGGAGCAAAGCUCUUCGGUGCCGCGCAAACGCAUUAAGUAUUUCACCUGGGGAGUACGUUCGCAGAAUGAAACUCAAAGGAAUGAGGGGACC
rnacentral:rRNA from 1 species